UGGGUAAUCUGCCCUCGAUUCUGGGAUAGCCCGGGGAAACCCGGAUUAAUACCGGAUAGCCUCUCGAGCUUUCGGGCUCGUGAGAAAAGGUAGCUUCGGCCUCCGAUCGAGGAUGAGCCCGCGGCGGAUUAGCUUGUUGGUGAGGUAACGGCUCACCAAGGCAACGACGGGUAGCUGGUCUGAGAGGAUGGCCAGCCACAUUGGGACUGAGACACGGCCCAGACUCCUACGGGAGNAGC
rnacentral:rRNA from 1 species